UACGUAGGCAGCAAGCGUUGUUCGGAGUUACUGGGCGUAAAGGGUGUGUAGGCGGUUGCUUAAGUUUGGUGUGAAAUCUCCCGCUUAACUGGGAGGGUGCGCCGAAUACUGAGUGACUCGAGUGCGGGAGAGGAGAGUGGAAUUCCUGGUGUAGCGGUGAAAUGCGUAGAUAUCAGGAGGAACACCGGUGGUGUAGACGGCUCUCUGGACCGUAACUGACGCUGAGACACGAAAGCGUGGGUAGCAAACAGG
rnacentral:rRNA from 1 species